GUUGGACAUAUCACUUAAUAAUAUUUAGCAUGAUAUAAUAUUCCAUUUUCUCUUCAGGAGCACAGACUCUUUAUCAUACUGGAUUAUUCUACCUUUGACAGUCAUUUUUCAACAUGACAGUAAUUUUAGAUAAAGCAUCGUGUGCUUAUAGAACCUUGUGCUUGAGUAAAAAUAAUCUUCAAAUAAAAAUAAUGAAGUAAAUUUUUCCUUAGGCCAUGCUUAAUUGGAAGCAUAGAACUUAAAUUGAGAAAAAAAUCCAUAUGAUAGAUUUUGUUUUUCUCACAUUUCCUGUUUGAAUAAUAGCAAAUAAUGCAGAGUAAUGGUUGUAAGAGUUCAGGGUAGAUGAAGUCUGUAGGUUUUAGAAAUAAUAGAGUUGAAAAGAACCUCCAAGAGGACUUACUUAAUAAGCGAACUAAAUGUCCUUAGACAGAUAUUGUCCCUAAACUCUUUUCUAUUGAAAGUUUAUAGUAUUGAAAAUUUGAUGACUAUUAGCACCUAGUAUAAAUCAACAUUCAUCUGCUGUUCUCUUUUUAGAUAGCCAAGUUAUAACUUUUUCGAAAAGACAUUAUUGGACUAUGUUAGUAGGUCCGCCUUCUCCUUUGAUCAUGUGCACUCUUACCUGUCACCCAACCUUCUCCACACCCUCUUCUCUUCAUUCAGUUGUGGACAGCAGUAAUAGUUUCAGUACCUUUGCUUCUUAGAGGAAAUACAUUUUUCCUUGUUUAUAUUUUUAAAAGAUGUUUCUAUUACAUUAUAUAUAGCAAGAGAUCUAUUAAGGAUCCAGAAAAUCUUAACCUGUGUAGGAUAUGAGUUCCUAACCAUAAGAAUUAGUUUCCUUGAGGGUUCUUGAGUAUAUUCUGUUUACACAGUUUAUACAUAAGUAAACUCUGUGGCAGAUAUACAUAAAAAACCUGUCACUUUUAUGCUCAUUCAUCCUCCUAAUUCAGUGUCUGGGUCAUGAGAUGUUUGGCUCAAAGCUUCAAAAACUUCAAGAAAACUGAUUUCAGUUCUCUCUAUGUUGAUCUUCCAGUUGGAUCUGGAGUCUACUGAUUGUGGAAAGGAAGAGCAGAUCACAUUGUAUUGAAAAUUGUCCUUUUCACUGAGAAAUAAAGGUUGACUGAGCUACCUAAAGUCACUUUCCUUUGGACUGUAAGCCUUAGAGAGAACAAUAAUACCUUUGCUUUUCUUGAGGUAGUAUUAGAAAACUCCAGUUCCCAUUGAUAGGAUAAACUUGUUUUCCCAUUUCAGGGUCUUUUUUAUAAAACAAUCACAAAAUCUUGACAUUUGGCAUCCCUGAAAAGCUCAAGUGGCCUUUUCAAAUAGGGCUUCAUGGAGUAUUACUGACUUUACAGUCAGUAUCCUGCAAAGAAAGGUGACAAACUUCCUGUGAAGUUAGGAAGAAAUAUUAGUAACCCACACACUUACAGUCCAUUUUCCAUUUUACCUUGUAGAAGUUUGUACUAGAGAUAGAACAAAUGAAAUUAGUUUUCUUUUCCAGGGAUAUCCUGUGAGAUACCUGAGAAAAUACAGAGUAUUUUCUCUCAGUUCUCUCAGGGUUAAAGCUCAGUAAGCUUUUCUUUUCUCUUUGGUAGUGUGGAACCAUUUGUACCGUGGAAAGAAUAGCUGGAAAUAUGGAACUUGAGUAUGGCACUACAGUAAUAAACAGAAGAAAUGAGUCACUAGGAUAAUAUAUUGGAGUGAUUUCUGUA